rnacentral:lncRNA from 1 species
AGCUACUCAGGAGGCUGAGGCAGUAGAAUCCCUUGAACCUGGGGUGCGGAGGUUGCAGUGAGCCAAGAUCGCGCCACUGCACUCCAGGCUGGGCGACACGGCGAGACUCUGUCUCAAAACAAAACAAAAGGAAAAGAAGAGAAAAGAAAAAGAAACGCAGGCACCCUGAAAUCGAAACUUGUUAGGACCAACAAGCCAACGACAGACGAAUCUGCGGGGUCCUGCGACAGACACGCCAGCCCCGCCGCCACAGCACAGGGUUCUGGAGGUCGAGCUGUUCUGCGGGUUCUGCGGCGGCGCUGGGAAGAGACGGCGCCCGGGCAGCUCCCCUGUCACCGGCUUGGAGGAGCGGCGGGCUCCCCUAGCCCAGCGCCGCCGCCGCCGCCCGGGAACGCCAGGCUCACCCCAGCUGGGGAAGCUCCGAAUCCCUCAGAUCGGCGACCUGAGUGCUGUCGCCCCGAGAAAAUGGAGGCAUCGAGCAACGAGCUGUGCUGAGACCGAGAGACCUCAGUUCUGCGAAAUGUCGGUGCCUGGAGCUUGCGAAUGACUGCGGCCGGCGGGUUGUCAAGGACAACAUUCCUUAUGGCGCAACCAACAGCGCUGUCACCAAGAAACUGGACUCUGAGAAAAAAGAGGGUUUCGGCCACCGAGAAACUCCGUGCCACAUGUGCCGUGACAGCAAAACCGCCCGCUCCGCGCCGCUGGUGAAAGAGCUAACGAACGCCAGGUGCUGCGACAGUGACACCGGGACUAGAAGGCCUCGGAUGGAGAAUGGGACGCCCAGAGCAAGCAGGAAAACGUUUUGUUUGGCUCAACUAGCGCUGUCGCAACCGGAAAACUGUCAGGCCAGUGCUGCUGCGGAUGUGAGAAACCGGUGAUCCGAAGGCGGAGUGGCGCUGGGCGCUGGACUCGCUGGUGUGAAAAUCUGGCUGCUCUAGGACCCGGCAAGCGCGGGCACCAGGCGAACGCCAGCGACUUUGCCAGACAAAUGCAUGUCUUUUUUGGUCGCCAUUCAAAGAUGCAGCCGGCAGUCAGCCCCGGCUCUGAGAAACAAGUGGAGGUGUCAGCCAUAAACCCUCCGUUCAGGGAAAAGAGAGUCGCUGCGACGGAUCGACUGGCCGUUGGGUGGAACUUUCUUUGGUGGCCUAGUGACUAGAAAAUAAAAACGAAAACGAAAUAAAAAACUGCUACUGACAUUACUCCCACGCUCCCUCCUCAAGUCAGUGGCUUCAGGCUUAAGAAAACCUGUAUUUUUCUUGGCUGAUCCGUGAUCCCUAAUUACUGAGGGCCCCGCGACCCACCAAGUGCGAUUCGCAGAGGGAAAGGAGCUGGAAUAAGGAUCCAGAAUGGGACGGAUUUGGCUCCUCCAGGAAGAAAGCAAAACAAAUGCAGGUCGCGAACACUUUACAUUGCAGGAAGCUGCUCUUCCAGUGGCCGCGGCUGGGUCCUUCCACACCACCUCUCUGUCCUAGGCCUUCGUCCCGGUUCAGCCCUCACGGAUUCUAGGCUAGCGGUCAACAACCGCAUCCCUCCGGAACCUGGAAACUCUAGGUCCGAGAUCUCGGUGAAGAAUGAAAGGCACAGCGCCGCUCAACCCAGGCUUCAGGCCUGCCCCGCUGGUCCCGUCCCUUCCCUGUGGGAUGGAACUCUGUGGGAAUCGCUCCUUAUUCUGAUGGUUCACUCAUUCAGAUGUCCUUGAUAUUUGGGGAUAUUUCUAAAACAGCUGGGGAGAAAAAUGGACUGCGAGGCUCCGGUGUUGGACGUGAAAUUGGCAGUGAGACAUCCGCCUCUAAGCCCAGGGAAAAGCUUAAAUUGUGGUUCUCUGUCUCUAGCACCGUGAUCUUUGAAAUGCGUUAUUGAUUUUCUUCUUUCUUCUGGGAAAUGCAAUGCAGGUGAACUUGUAAGUGUUGAAUCCUCCCUCUCCUCACUGUUCAAUCAGACUGAGGCCUACUUCCUUUCUGAUAAGAAAUAUGGAACUGCCAUUGCUCAGUAGGAAAAUGUCCUUUCUACAAGCAUUCAUAUUUCAAUAAAAAUCUGCACUUUGUGAGUUGAGCCCCCUCAAAGAGACCUACAGACCCUGCCAUGAGCAUCUCCAUCCACACUCAUCAUUUCCCAUUUUCACCACUUCUGCUCCUGUGCAAACCAGUACUAUCCUUUUCUGGGGGAUCCUAGGCAGAAGCGAUGGCAGGACAAAGGCAGAGAAGGCACUGCCAGGUCCUGCAUGCCAGUAAAACUACUCAUGUCAGCUGUUCUGCAGGAUCCCAUGAGAAGCCUCUCACCCUCCACAAUCCCCUUAAAAACUGUAGCCCAGAACUCUCUGGAAUGAUGAAUUUGAAGGUUUGCUCCUGUCUCCUCACUCAGAAGCCUGUAAUCAUUAAA